GUAUAAGGUUUAUAGGCACAAGGCCCAAUGAUACAUUCUGUUACAUACAAUGGGGUAUAUGAAAAACGUAGACCUGGAAAUGCAAGGAAAGCCAGCUAGUGCCAGCAAGUCCUCCCGACCGAGUUGCCUCGGAAAGUCAAUCCAAGUCUACAAGAGGUGCACAGGUGGAGAGAUGAGGAUGGUAGGUGUGCACAUGCCCCCGAGAGGGCCAGCGACAACCACACCAAGUUCAUUCAAUAAUGAUCCUUCCGCAGGUUCACCUACGGAAA
rnacentral:misc_RNA from 1 species